rnacentral:rRNA from 1 species
AGACGUCUACAUUAGACUACCCCCGUAGUCCCAGCCGUAAACUAUGCGCGUUAGGUGUAUCGGUGACCACGAGUCACCGAGGUGCCGAAGGGAAACCGUGAAACGUGCCGCCUGGGAAGUACGGUCGCAAGGCUAGAAACUUAAAGGAAUUGGCGGGGAGCACCACAACGGGUGGAGCCUGCGGUUUAAUUGGACUCAACGCCGGGAAGCUCACCGGAUAAGACAGCGGAAUGAUUGCCGGGCUGAAGACUCUGCAUGACUAGCUG